CUGGAAGUCAUAUGGGAAACAGAUACCCAGUUUUUCAGCUCCAUUAACUGAAAGACUCUUUUCCUGAAUGUUGUCCUUGCAUCAUUGCACAAAAUCAGCUUACCAUAAAGAGGAUUUACUGAAAUCCUGAAACUUAGGAGUCAGCAAGUUUUUCAUUUGUGUUUGUCAAAUGUCAAGAAAAGCUGAGGAGUUACAAGAAACUCAGUGAUCCCUGACAGCUCUCUGCAAUUGCAGCAAAAUCUGAGCAAGACUGACAGAAACCACUCGGGGACAAACAUCUGACUUCCACAGCAGUUAAAAUCAUUGAAUACAGAACCAAAAUGUCUUCAUGUGAAAAACUCCAUCAAGACCCAAGAAAACUUCUGACUCAUUAGUAGUUUAGGGUACAUCAUGUGGAUGCUUUUGAAACCCCAUUCUUUGAAGUCUUCCCCACUUAACAUAUAUCUAAAAACCAUACAUACAUUCAUUAGAUAUAAUCUUAGUUACCAGUUUUAAAGGAAAUAAAAGCAUAUAGAACACAAUAGUUACAUCUCCAAAAUAAAGAAGCUUGUAAGAUGUGUAAAAGUUAAGAAUUCAUUUUCACUAACAAUUAUUCUCAAACUUAAAUGAGGAUACUGAGGACAUGAAAAUUACAGAGCUAGUAUCAUGAUGCUAUAAAAUAC
rnacentral:lncRNA from 10 species